CAGCCGCCGCGGUAAUACGGAGGGUGCAAGCGCUAACCGGAAUUACUGGGCGUAAAGCGCACGCAGGCGGUUUGUUAAGUCAGAUGUGAAAUCCCCGAGCUUAACUUGGGAACUGCAUUUGAAACUGGCAAGCUAGAGUCUUGUAGAGGGGGGUAGAAUUCCAGGUGUAGCGGUGAAAUGCGUAGAGAUCUGGAGGAAUACCGGUGGCGAAGGCGGCCCCCUGGACAAAGACUGACGCUCAGGUGCGAAAGCGUGGGGAGCAAACAGGAUUAGAUACCCGCGUAGUCCCUGUCUCUUAUAC
rnacentral:rRNA from 1 species